rnacentral:misc_RNA from 1 species
AAGGGAAGGGAAUUGGCGGGAAAUAAGGAAGAGCAGGAAGACGGUGAACCAUUCGUCCUCGAUGUUAUCGCCAAAGCGAAGCUUGCCAUGGAGGUGGGGGAGAGGAGACUUGGAGGAGCAGAGGCAAGAAGGAGAUAAGAAAGAGGAGAUGGAGAGAGAGAAGGGUUCGUGUUGCCAGAUAUAAAAGGAAGAGUACGGCGAGAGGAAGUGAAGGAUUUCGAGGUGAAGGGAUUGGAGAGCAAGGGAAGGAGAGGAAGAAGAAUAGAAGGAAUUGGAGAGAGAGGAGUCUGGAAAGAUUGCGAAAAAAA